GAUGAACGCUGGCGGCGUGCCUAAUACAUGCAAGUCGAGCGAACAGACGAGGAGCUUGCUCCUCUGACGUUAGCGGCGGACGGGUGAGUAGCACGUGGAUAACCUACCUAUAAGACUGGGAUAACUUCGGGAAACCGGAGCUAAUACCGGAUAAUAUAUUGAACCGCAUGGUUCAAUAGUGAAAGACGGUUUUGCUGUCACUUAUAGAUGGAUCCGCGCCGCAUUAGCUAGUUGGUAAGGUAACGGCUUACCAAGGCAACGAUGCGUAGCCGACCUGAGAGGGUUAUCGGCCACACUGGAACUGAGACACGGUCCAGACUCCUACGGGAGGCAGCAGUAGGGAAUCUUCCGCAAAGGGCGAAAGCCUGACGGAGCAACGCCGCGUGAGUGAUGAAGGUCUUCGGAUCGUAAAACUCUGUUAUUAGGGAAGAACAAAUGUGUAAGUAACUAUGCACGUCUUGACGGUACCUAAUCAGAAAGCCACGGCUAACUACGUG
rnacentral:rRNA from 1 species